AAGCUAAAAAUCAUAAAUUGAACAUCUUUCUGAUGCUUCUUCACAGAAAGAAGUGACAAAAGUGGCAACAACGGAGUUGUCGAUUAAUAAUAUUCAAUUCUAAAAUAUUUUUCCUUAGCUCGCAAAAAUCAGCGUCGAUAUGUAUGCAAGUUCAUACAUAUGCAUACAUAUUUACGCUAGUUCGUAGGCGAAGCUGUUACAGCGGCAAGGGAAGCGGUAACAAUCGGCAAUCGUUUGUUAGUUUCUUUCGCGUCUCGUCGCGUCAGUGCUUCGACAGAUUGAUGUGCUGAACACAUAGAAUGCGACAGACUGCAAGCGCCAUCUGAAUCUGAUAUUGAAAUACACACAUUCUUAUGGACAAAGUUAUUGAGGCAGCUGCACAACUACAUAACUGUGUCCAUAUGAACGUGAGUAUUUUAAUAUUUGACAGAUGUCGCUUGCAGUCUGCCCCGCUCAAUGUGUUCAGCAUUUGACCCUUUGACAAAACGCCAUUGGUUGACCGUGAAGACGGAGAUGCGAAAGAUGCGUGCGACACUUGUUAUUAUGAAUGCAUGUAUGUACAUACAUACAUACAUAUGUAUGUGGCUCGCAUUUGCUUUCGGAAACAUACAAAUGUGCCAAAGAAAUAAUAUACAUACAUAUGUAUAUGCCAUAGAAAUUCUAUUGGUACAAAUAUGGAAAUGAUAACGAAAUAAUGUGAAUAUGCCUAUUUAAUGAAGGUCAUUAAUUUUUUUUGAAGAAAUGAAAGGAAUGCAUGGAAGUGUUUAUAUGAGCACAUUUAAGUUCAUUUUAUAAUAGUCGAAAUUAAUAUAAUUUUUGAAAUAAUCAUUUAUUUAAAAUUAUUUUUUAUUUAAUUUUGUCACAUACAAUUUUUACCAUUUUUAGAAAAUAUAAAUAUCAAUAUAAAAUAAUCACGCAUAUGUGACAAUUAUUCAUAUAAUACAAUAUAAGCAUGCAUAUGCGAAAAUCGUUCACAUAAUACAACAUAAGCGUGCAUAUGUCACUCAGAGAAUGCUUUUUUACAUUCUCUGUGUGCCUUUGUAUAUUUUGUAUAUUUUUCUGCGAAGCAAAUUCUCUUUAUUUAUUUUCAGUCAUUUACAUAUAUUUCUGCCACUCCACGUGCUCAAUUAUGCUAAAUAGCAGCGAGCACGGCGAAUUCCCUAAUAAAAAUCUAUCAGCUCUGUUAACCGCGCAAUCGAACCAUCAUACAGAUUUCGAUUUGCACCUUCUCUAUACUUUACAUUCUCUGUUUCAAACGAUCAAAGAAAAUACGAUCACGUUAUCAGCUCGCUCGACGUUGAAACACUCACCAACCAUAUCAAUUAUUCGACAAAUGUGUGUUUUGACAAUGCAGUCAAAACAUUCUGACUCGAUAAAUUGCCUGAAAGUAUGCACGCAAUGGUGUCAAUUGCCGUAAGAGAUUUAGAUCGGUAUGCUCAACAAGCCGACCAAAUAAUGGAAAUUGGCAAUUCCAGUUCAGUUUCAACGAUUCAAGGUCAACGGUCUAAGUCAAACACCUGACUGACGGUUUCGCCGCUUUGAAGCAGACGAUUGACGUUCUCCAACGAGAAAUCAACGAAAUCAAAGUAAAUUCUUGCAGCAAUCAACAUGGCCGCAGUCAAACACCAGCACACGACAAAUUAAAGACCGCUUCGCCUCCGAUCGUCAGCGAAGCGAGCAGUCAAACAUCACGCCGUCUCUUUAUCACCGAUCGUAAGACUCAUCUUAAAUUUUUAGUCAAUACAGGAGCAGAUUUUUCAAUUCUACUUAAAUCAUCAAUUAAAGAGAAACUCAAAACAUCGAGUUAUUCGCUAUUCGCUGCCAACGGAUCAAUCAUCAACACAUACGGUAAAUGCGUUUCUAAUUUCAUCACUUAUGAGCCGGUAUUUUCAAUCAACAGCGACAACGUAUGUAAAAAGCUGCUAACUGAAUUUAAAGAUCUAACGACACCGCCUUAUUGUGACAAGACAAAAGCAACGAAAACAGCUGUUCAUCAUCAAAUCAUCACCAACGGACAACCAGUUUAUUUACGCGCUCGUCGUUUAAAUCAAGAGAAACUCGUCAACGCUAAGAAAGAAUUUGAGUACAUGAUCAACAUGGGAAUUUGUCAACCAUCGCAAAGUGAAUGGGUCAGUCCAUUAAACAUGGUUCCAAAAAAGAAUAGACUUUGGCGACCGUUUGGAGAUUAUCGAUGUUUAAACACUCAAACAGGUCGUGAUCGUUAGCUAGUCAAAUGCAUUCGCGAUUUCACGCAUAAUUUAAACGGAAAGGCAAUAUUUUCGGUUCUUGAUUUGGAGAAAACUUAUUUCAACAUUCCAAUCGCCGACGAAGAUCGAAAUAAGACAGCCAUAAUCACGCCGUUUGGGUUCUUUAAAUUCAACGUUACGACCUUCGGAUUAUGCACCGCAGCGCAAAUAUUUCGACUCAUGAAUCAGAUAUUAUUCGGUUUGGACGUUGUAAUCUGCUACAUCGACGACAUUUGCAUCGCAUCGAAGAACAAAGAAGAGCAUUUAUUUGCAACAUAUUCGCAUAGUUUUGGAACGGUUAUGCGAACACGGCUUAAAAAUCAAGGUCGCUAAGUGCGAAUUCGCGCAGCAAGAGGUGUUAUUUUUAGGUUUUCGAGUCAGUAAAACCGGCAUUCGACCAUCAGCCAGCAAAGUAGACGCUGUCGCAAAUUAUCCAAAAUCAGAAAUAGCCAAGAAACUUCCUGGGAGCGAUUAACUUUGGUCACGAUUUCAUUCCUAAUGCAGCUCAAACGCAAGGCCAACUACGCGUUCUAAUCAAAGGCAACAAGAAAAAUGAUAAAUCGCCAGUUAUUAGGACAGAAGAUGCAGAAAGGGAUUUCGAAGAAUGUGAUCAGGUAUUUAUCGACGCAAUUGCGUUAAAACAUCCAUUGCCAAACUCGACGCUAGCAAUUUUUCGGUCGGAGCAGCUCUUCACCAAGUCAACGAAGAGAAAUUUGAGCCACUCGGAUCUUAUUCAAAACGAAGACCGAUCGCCAGAAGCGCUACAGCACAUAUGAUCGCUAGUUAUUAGCCACUCAGUCAAACAUUUUAAACACUUGAUUGAAGGUAGGCGCUGCACAAUUAUGACCGAUCAUAAACCAAUAACAUUCGCAUUUUUACAAAAUCCCGAGUAGACAUCGCCACGACAAUUGAAUCAUUUCGAUUUCAUCAGUCUGUACACCACUGAUAUUUGUUACAUUUCCGGGAAAGACAACAUCGUAGCCCAUUUUUUCUCACACAUCGAGAGUUUAUCAACCUGUGAAGCAAUCAAUUUUGAAGAGUUGGCUGAGAGUCAGAAAAUCGACAAGAAUUGAAUGUUUUUUUGAAGAGCAACACGUCAAGUUUACAACUAAAGUUAGUUAAUAUUCCGAACGUAACCAAAGCCAUUUUUUGUGACGUUUCAACGGAUUUUUGUCAACAAGUAUUCAACUCUGUUCACAAUAUGGCUCAUCCCAGUAAAAAGUCAACAAUCAAAGUGGUACACGCUUGUAUUUCAUGCCAAAAAUUCAAAAUUGCGCAACAGAACAGAGCAGCACUUCAGAGUUUUUCUACACCAAGUAAACGCUUCGAAUGGAUUCAUAUCAAUUUGGUCGGACCAUUGCCAGUUUCAAAAGCUAUUGUCUUACUUGCAUCGAUAGAUACACUCGUUGGCCAAUCGCUAUUCCAAUUGAAGGCAUUCAUAUCGAUACCGUCGUCAAGGCUUUAAUCAACGUUUGGAUAACUUUUUACGGUGUGCCAGCUAAAAUCACCACAGAUCAAGGCAAGCACAUCGAAGCAAAAUGAUUCAACGAAUUAACGCGUAUAUUUAGAACAAAACAUCUUCGUUCAAGUCCACGACAUCCGCAAGCCAACGGUAUGAUCGAACGUUUUCAUCGAACCAUGAAAUCAUGUCAAAACAACGAACGCUGGACCGAAACACUGUCAUUGAUCUUGCUUACCCUUCGCUCUGUGCUCAAAGGAGACAUCAAAACAACACCAUCAGAGAUGGUUUAUGGUGAGACACUCAAACUCCCAUGCGAUUUCUUCGAAAACAUCGACGACGAUAAUUUUGGCACCGAACUCGUUCAACAAUUACCCGAAUUGAUGUGGAAAAUUCAACCCGUUCCAGCGUCGAAUCACGCUAACAACAGGGUCUUCGUCUAAAAGAAUAUGCAAACUGGCACACACGGUUUCUUGAGAGAUGAUGAUGUUCGACCACCGCUUAAAACACCAUACGACGGUCCAUAUGAAAUGUUGAGCCGAAACGGCAAGACAUUUGAAAUUCUCGUCAAAGAUUACAAAGUUAGCACAGAUAGAGUCAAAGCAGCAUUUUUACCAAUCGACGAACCGCCAUCAUCAGCAUCAAACGCAAUCAUACCACCAGACACGGUCGUAUUAACAUCAAGCAAAAAUCAAACCCACUCAAACCCAAAGCGAACAACCAAGGUCAACGAAAAUCGGAAGAACCGUCAACAAACCUAAAGGAUACGUUUCUUUCUCCGACAAUUAGUAAUUACUUUUUCAUUUUUUCCGUGACUUAAUUAUCAUUCAGUCACUGGCGGGGGAGUACUGUGGCGGUUAAAUUUAAUUUACAUAAAUUUAUUUUGCAAUUUUAAUUUCAUUUCAUUUUUAAUUUUAAAAGUCACGACAAUAUCGAAAACCCACAAUACGUCAAUAUUGCAUAAUAAACGUUCAAUAAAUAUUGCCAUUCGGUAUAAAAAUAUUGAACGUGUAGCCAGCGUCAUAGAAACUGAUGACUGCUUAUUUUUUCUUUUGCCUUUUGUUAUGGCAUCUGUAGGAGUUGAAUUUAGCAUCAGAAGCCAUAAUAAUGUUUACAAAACACGUUUAUAAAAAUACUCGCGGUAUAACGAUUGCAAAACAUAGCUUUUUAGGUACGUGUGUUUAUUUCAUUCACCGACACCCACAAACUCACCAGAGUACUUGGCAAAUGCAAAUAAUCGCGAAGGGCUAUUGAAAAUUUGGGCCCCCAAAUCGCCAUGUCCUCUGAGACAUAAAUCGAUUAUGCUGCGGAAGUCUUGACCAGAAGUAUGUAUGUAUAAUUCUGCCCGUAUAACUACGCCAGGAGCUAGAAGCACACAUCGCGUCAACAAGUGGGACAGACAUCUGUUAUCCAAUGAGAUAAUGACAAAACUCAGAGAGAAGAGACAUCUUCGGCAUGCAUGGCAGGUCAAAAGAAAUCCUACUGACAAAUCGUGCCGCAAAGGAGCUGAAGCAUGUUCUCUGGAAAUUGUGCAACAUGUCCCUAGAGACAUUUCUGGUUGCUGCCAAGCCAGGAUAUCCAGUAAACAAUUUUUGGAAUGUGAUUAGAUAAAACAAUAAGCCGAUAUCUAGAUGCCCACCAAUUUUAAACAGCAGAGGUCAGUGUUGCAGGACUAAUGCAGAAAAAAGCCGAAGUGUUUGCCAGACACCUCCAAAACAUGAUUAAAAAACACACACACUAUGGUCUCCACGACGUUGUUGGAACGAAUUCAAUGAACCCACGAAGUACUCGAAAAUUCUUUCAGUAUUGACUUCUAAAACUUGAAAAGAAUCAGGUUUAUUGCUAAAGACAAAAGACUUCAAAUAACCUCACAAGAAGUAGCCUAAUGUGCUUAAAUCAAAACUUUUUCAAGGCCAUUCAAUAACACAAUUAGUCAAAUUAAUCGAAUCUCUAAACUUUUCUCGCAGUACAAGUAAAUCGGUUGUAGCACGUAGCCCCGUUUUGUUAGAACCAGAUUGAUCUUGACAAGGAACCGAUGAUUCCACCAGAGCAAGAAACACACCAAACUGUCAAUUUAGGUAAAUGAAAUGGGUGUUCAGCAAUAAUUUGUGGAUUUUCCUCGCACCAGAAUCUAUAUAUUAGCGUAUUUAUCGCAUCACCCAGAUGAAAGUGCGACUAUUCCGAAAAGAUGAUUUACUUAAUUGUUUUUUGUAAUUCUUACAAUAAAAUUUAGUAAUUUUAAACGUU